rnacentral:tRNA from 1 species
GCAAAGGGAAAUAGGAGAUGAUUUUCGUUUUCCGCUUCUGGAAAUCGUGUGUACCUCGCAAGGGUACCGAGGGUUCAAAUCCCUCUCUCUGCGCCA